rnacentral:rRNA from 1 species
CCUACGGGUGGCAGCAGUGGGGAAUAUUGCACAAUGGGGGAAACCCUGAUGCAGCGACGCCGCGUGAGUGAAGCAGUAAUUCGUUACGUAACGCUCUAUCAGCAGGGAAGAAAUACUGACCUUACGGUCAGCAGACGGUACCUGAGUAAGAAGCCCCGGCUCACUACGUGCCAGCAGCCGCGGUAAUACGUAGGGGGCAAGCGUUAUCCGGAUUUACUGGGUGUAAAGGGAGCGUAGACGGUGCGCCAAGUCUGGAGUGAAAUGCCGAAGCUUAACUGCGGAACUGCUGUGGAAACUGGCGAACUAGAGUGCGGGAGGGGUAAGCGGAAUUCCUAGUGUAGCGGUGAAAUGCGUAGAUAGUAGGAGGAACACCGGUGGCGAAGGCGGCUUACUGGACCGUAACUGACGUGGAGGCUCGAAAGCGUGGGGAGCAAACAGGAUUAGAUACCCGUGUAGUC